GCCUGGGUGGCUCAGUUGGUUGAGCGUCCGACUUCGGCUCAGGUCAUGAUCUCACAGCUCGUGAGUUCGAGCCUCGCAUCAGGCU
rnacentral:tRNA from 1 species